rnacentral:lncRNA from 1 species
AGAACACAAGGAGAUAUCACCUUCUCCACCGUCUUCACUCCAUCCCCAUGGAGGUCUUUCUUCAUCAUGCACAUUAGCUUUCGCGGAGUAGAUGGCUACAUUAGUAGCCCACAUCCACUGCGGGAGAGAGUCGUGCAGCUUAGGUGGACCUUCCUCAGUGUCAAGCUCUAGCAAAGGGCUGUACACAUCCUCUUCGCCACCACUCGGUGGUGAGAACACACUUCCUUGAAUGGGAAGCAAAGGUGUGAAAGAAUCAAGCUUCAACCUCCUUGAAUGCUUCCUGAUAAUCUCAUUCGCCGCCACAAGAGAAGCAUACCGUUGAAGCACUUCAGGAGCUCUUUACUUCUGAUCCCCAAUCCAAAAAGGGACGAAGAGGACAAAACGAGGUCCAACUUACACCUCUUGAACACUAUAUGACGUGAAUCAUAAUAAUAUUUAUAUAAUGAAGAACAUGUGUGGUUAUUGAAAUGGAUUUGGAUACAGAUGCCGCUGCCUCCAAGUGUAUACCAGAGACUGACGUCAAGCCCUCCUCUGAUGAAUCUUGCACAAGUUUUAGCCUACCACAGAGCGUACGUAUAUACUAGCCAAUUGAUCUCAUGUUUUUUGUUUUUGUUUUUGUUUACGUCUGACUAUGAAAACCAUUGAAUACGCAGGUGUUACGAGGAGAUGCCGCUGCAGGAGAUGCAAGCAAACAAACACAGCACCACCUAGAACACUGUUGAGACCAACCUCUCCUUUAUCCGAACCGACAAAAGCAGCUAUACUAGCAAACACAUCGGGAGCUCCGUUACCAAGGGGAAGCAGAGUGACGCCAGCGACCGUAGGAGGCAGCCUGAGAAGCUUAGAGAGCUUCUCAAGCGAAGGACAAAAGUAAUCAGCGGCGGUGUUACCUAGUAGAUAAAACAAAGCGACGAGCCAAACACCUAAUGCAAUAUAACCCAAGAUCUUGAAAUGUUGACACGUGCAGUAGAAGAAGCUGAGGUAGUCGUCAUAUUUUAGUCAUAUACUGUUGGUAUUAUCUAGGUUGUUUCAAUAAGUAUACAAAUUUGCUAAUUUGAGAGUGACUUUUUCAAGAAUUGAUAAAAAAUUAAAUGUUAGUUGGUUUUUUUUAAUCGUUUUCAUUUAAAUAUGUAAAAAAAUAAAUCGUUUUGUAAUCAAUCUGGUAGGCAAAUCUGCUAGAGAUUUAGUGUACAUGCUUUACUUUUCUUGUGUAAUAACAAAAAGAAACCCUAAACACUUUCAGCAAAAGAUGAGACUUUUAUUGUGACAAACUGUAUCGAAGGAGACAUGACGAGAUACCAAAGUCUGAUAGCAGCUGCUUUGUUGCGAGCUUCUCGCCGUUUAACCUCACCGGCCGUUUCCUCCGUUAGGAGAACCUUCUCUUCUUCCUCCUUACUUCCAAGGACAACGACAACCCUCACCACUCUUCCUCGCUCUUCUCCCUUGGCAAAGUUUUAUUUUUCAUCCUCCUCCUCCUCUUCUCCUCCUUCUGUUCCACCGCCGAAAGCGUCCCUUAAAAAUGGCCACGAAGAAGACACUUUUGAAUGUAAGAAGAAAGAUCAAACCUUCUCUUCUUAUUUGAUUGCGUCUUCCCUUUCUGGGUUUUAUGGUUUAUCGUUAUCCAGUGCCUCAUAGGUUUUGCCUUCCUCGUGUCUUCAAGGUGUUUGUUAAAAUGUUUCCUGCCCAAAGCUAUGUUCUUUUGUUUGGCCGUACGAGUGCUUCGCCUUUGACUAUGUGAAACCAUUCUAUUUCAAUGCUUUCGCAGUCACAGAAAUGUUUGAAAUCUCAUAUAACACUGCUUGUAUGCUUUAAAUCACAAAUCUUUCCACUGUUUCUUGAUGCGUUACAAUGGAGUUUGCAAAUUUUCGUCAUUGAUCCUCUAUGUUUCCUUGUCUUGUCCUCCUUACAAGCUAUGUCAUAAGCUUUACCACAUCCUUUGGCAGAUAAAACAACUGAGGAUGUAGAGGUCAUAGAUGAUUGGGAAGAAGAAGAAUAUGAAGUUGAAGCUAAGGUAAUUUCUCUUUCCCAUUCUUCUUCUUCUUAGAGAUUACGUUCUAGUUAAUUUUUGUUCUAUUUUACAGCUUGGCGAUGGAGGAGAUGGUGGUGGGGUUGUUCUUCGAGGUGUGCCAUGGGGUGAAAGAGUUCUCUCUAUUGCUUCCCAAGUUUUGAAGGAGUCUGAGAAAGAUCUGCAACUGUUUGCUUUCAGAACUUCUCCUCGUGGAUAUAUAUACAUCAGACUAGACAAACCCUCUCAUGAGUAAUUAUUAUCCUUCCCUUUUCCUAUAUAUAUAUAUAGCCAUCACGAAAGCAAUACGUUUCAGAAACUAGUGUAACCUAUGUGUUGGUGUAAACCAGAGCAUAUCGCAGUUGUAUCACCAGAGUAAGUUUCAAUCAUGUGCCUCCUACGAGGAGGAGGAGACCCAUCAACGAAAGAUUGAUUCUUUAGCAAAGGGUUCUUGUUAAAGAAGAAGAGGAAGAGGGUUAGAGCACAAAGGGCAUUGAAGAUCCCUCGGAAUCUGGGAUUGCUCGAGGUAUAGAGAUAAUUCACAGCUCUCAUUCUCGAAUCUGAGGGUUAUAUUCUAAUAAAUCGCCAUAAGAUCACCUAAACGAAUCUGAUUGUGAUCAGAGGAGAUUGGAGGUGCUUACCGGAGUUUAAUCAACGUGAUCUGUGUGAUCAGGAAGGCUUUUUUUUUCGGUGGAAUUCACAGGGAAAAGAGAAAGGAGAGAUCGGUGAUGAUUAUGGCUUGUGUCGGAUUAUUUACUUGCUUUAAUUCGGAUCUUGUUCGGGUUUGUUUGACCAGACAGUAUUAGUAAGCAAGCACCAUGUUGUUUCUUAUCUUUAAUGGGCCGGAAGGCCUAGAAUGGGCAAUAUGAGGCCUGCUAAAGAAACAUAGCCUAUGGAAAACCGGAAGGGGAUGAUGGUUAGUUCUGUUCGAGUUGUUUGGUCUUUGGAUGGCAUAAAUUGUGAUGAACUGAACUGAACUAAAUAAAAAUUCGAUUUGCAUUCGGUUGAUAUAUUCAACCAAAAAUUAAUCAAAGUUUUUGGGUAUGGUUUAAGAGAAAUUCUUUAGGAUAGACUUAUAAUUUUUUUUGUCGCAAAUAUAGAUUUUAAAAAUAAAAAAAGACUAAAAUAGACGUAAAUAUUUUAUCAAAAGAAGUAAAUAUACACUUAUACUUUUAGAGUUAGCUAAUCUAAACAUUAGAAUUUAGAGUCAAGUGGUGAAGUUUAGGGUUUAAAAUUUAGUGUUUAGAGUUGAGGAGUGGGGUUUUAGAGAUAAAAUUUCAAAUUUUAAAAUUAAUAAAUAAAUUAAAAUUUUAAAAUAAAAAAUAUUAUUUUGGUCAUUUUAGUUUUUAGAGUUUAUUUUUGUGACAAAAUUUUAAAAUAGUAUAUUCGAAAGAAUUGCCCAUAGUUUAAUACCGGCUAAAAUUUUAUAUAAUUUGGGCCUAAUUGGCCAUAUGAGGCCUGCUUUUAACGCGGAUUUUAAUUAGUAAUGUUUGGAGAGACACAUUGAGAAACUUAUAUAUAUUAUACACAUAUAGAUAUUGUGUGUGUACAUAUGUUUUAGUUUUGAGGUCAGUGACCUUUCAUGUGACAUGUGAAAUUUUAUGUAAAAUAACAUUUUCAUGGUCCAAGUAGUCCCAGAGGAUCUGGCCCUCGAGGUAUAAUAAUAAUAAUAGUCUUUCCCCAUGAAUCAGACAGCAACUUCUCUGGUCAUUUUGUUCAAAGAUUUGAUCAUGUAUUGGUGUUUACUGUGAAGGUAUCAUCUCCAGGAGCAGAGAGACUGCUGAAAGUUCCAGAGGACUUGCACCGAUUCAAGGAGAUGCCUAUGACAGUAAGCUACGAGGAGGAAACAAACUCGAGGAAAACAGUGAAGAGCACAGUGUUGCUCUUGGAGUCUGUAGAUGCAGAAUCAGAGAUAUGUAUUUGGAAACUAGCAGAUGUGAGGGAGAACAGAGAUCCCGAAAGCAAAGGCAGACCGUUGAGCCGGAAACAAAAGGACCUCAGAUUCAAACUGCCUUUCUCAGUUCACAGGAUGAUAACUCUCUACUUGGAUUAGUUGAUUAGAUGCUGAAUCAGAAGUAGAGUUGCUAGAAAGGCAAGUUUUUUUUGCCAGUUUUCUAUUUCAAGAAAAAACGAUGUUUAUUCUGAUGUUUCUUAUAUGGUCAUGCACGUUAGAGGAGAUCCAUGUACUAUGGCAAACCAAAGAUAAAUUGCAGCGCAAUGAUGUAUGCAAUGAUGUUGCUUCAGAGCUUUAUUUGACAGAAAAGAUGCAAAAAUCUCUUGGAAUCCAACUAGGAGGAUUACGACCCAGGAACACAUGUCUAGGUUACUUAUGACUAAGCUUGGUAAAUCUCUUCUAUAAAUAGACACUUCUGAUCACCAUUAAAAAAAGAUACAUUCACAUAUAUGAAAAUGUAAGAAGAUAAACUCCGACAAGCUUUUAUAUAACCUACACACUUAUUCUUCUAACAAAAUAUUUUUAGAUUUUUAUAGAGUUUCGACGGUAUAUCGUAGAUGUUGAAUUUGUAGAUUCUCUUUUGGCUGAUACAAAACAGUCUUAUAUGGUUUUAACCUAUGACUCAAAAAUCAUAAAUAAACCGUUUCUAAUAUGAGAUAUUUUAUUAAGUUAAAGAAAGAUAUCAUAUCUCGACUCUACGUAUUCGUCUAUUUAUUUAAUGGUUUUCGAUCUAUUUACUGUCUUAUAUUUUCGUUUUAACUCGUUUUGUUUGGUAAUUUUCAUUAUGGAUUUUCGUAACCUAAACUUAAAAUGAACAACAACAAGAGUAACAAGAUUUAUAAAAAAUCAUCACAUUCGACUACACGAUGCAUUGUGACGCAAAAGCGAAUAAGUGAAUGAAAAAGUUGAGGCCUCAAAAUCAAACUCAACUAGAUGAUUGUCCAUUUGAUAUCCUCCUAUCUCAAUCGGAAAUCUCGGAUCAUUUCUAGCAUCAACAAACGCUAAACACAUAAUGGUCUUGUUCACCAUUACCAGUGCCGGUCUGGAGUUUUGGAAGACCGGAAGCGAAAGAAAAAAAUGGGCUGCUUUCCGUAUGAUCAAUUAAAAGAGUUUGAAUAUUAAAAAAAAAUCAGUGUCAGAAAAUAUAUAUUCAAAUACUAAAAAGAUAAAAAUACAUUAGUUUUCAAAAAUAAUUCUUCGCACAUUCUUAUUAGCAAAAUCAUUCACUAAAUUUGUGUUGUCCAUUCUUGUAGUCAUGAUUCUCCUUUUAAUCGAUAUGACUGUCAAACCAUUUAAUUUUCACUACUUUAUUAAUAUGUUUCUCUACAGAUUCAUCAAGUGUAGAAGGUACCUUAACAUGGAAUCAGCCUUUGAAUUUGUUAGAGUUUGUUCUCUUCUUUUCUCUUAUUUUUGUGCAUCUCUCUUCUUCUUUUUUAUUCUUUUUGAAGACACUAAGUUACAAAAAGGUGUUUGUAAAUUAAUAAAUACAUUGUUAUGCAAAGUAAGAUACAACGAACGAAAAAUAACACGUAAAUAUGACUAUAUUUGGUUAAUAUUUAAUAAAUCUGGCUGCAUUGAUGAUGAUGAUGGAAAUUUUUUGAAACUCAACUUGGAGAAAUCAAUGAUUAAGAGGAAGAUGAGUUUGAUUUGGAAUAGAAUAAUAGGAAAUUUAGAUUGAUGCUAAAUAAUUAGAGACGCAUCACUAAUAGGAGGAAGAAGAUGACAUGCCUAAUGAUAAUGAAGACUACAUCAAUUAAGUUUUAAUUUGUGUUCUUUUUUUUUCUUUUAUUCUACUGCAUUAGAUAAUUUAUUUAUUUCCUUUAUCAUUAGCUUCCUUAUCAAAAAUAUUUUUAUUUCCUUAUUUAUAGAAAAGCAUUAAAAAUAUACUUCACACAAAUGAACUGAUCGUUAAUAACCAAAAUAAAAAAAUACAUAUGCGAGGGGGUUGAACCCAGCCUUGGUCCAAGAAAAUGUUAGAAGCAAUCGGUUGAAAACCCAAAAAAAAAGAGAAUACCUAUGAUUUGACUGAUUUGUGUCUAUGGAAUAAGGUAGAAGAUUGUGGGAUUUAGGAUAUGAGGCUAAUUAGUAUAGAAGUGUAGUGUAGGGAGUGCAAUUUCCCAAAAUGUUAAAGUGCACUUACCCAUAGCCGCUGCACCAAGGCCACCUAACAAGACUUACAGCCGAAAAUAAUUUAAGAAUCUGAGGGCCGGACGCCGUUGCUUCUACCGCUUCCCCUCAGGGCCGGUACUGCCAUUACAAGCGAGUUUGUUCCGUAGAUAUCCCACUUGGCUCCUCCUCCCAAAACAAAACUGAUCACCGGAGUCUUCUUUCCAAGCAAAGACUUUCCUCCAAAACUUUUGUAACUAAAGCAAUCACGGAAGGGAUACACGGCUUUACGCUGAGCCUUCCUGACGAAGGCUUUAACAAGAGCUCUGUAGAUGGAAGUCUACAAGAGAGUGUAUGGAAUUAUGCUGCUGAUCUUUGUGCCUCCCCAAUGAGUCGUUUUGUUAAAAGUCAGGAGAGUUUCUUUCCGUUGACUUCGAUAGAUUUCACAUCUAUGUAAUAGUUAUCCACCCCGUUCUCCGGGAUUGAGACAAGAGGAGUGGAGACUAAUAACCCUUGACAUCUCUAUGGUUCAGCGGCAGCAAAUAUGGGCUGCCGCCUAUGUAAACACUCCCGGAAAUAUUUUCAGGCUUAGAAGAUAAACAUAGAGCUACUUUGAAGGGUAUCUUGUAAGAAGACUCGAGGCUUUUAACAAAAGACAUAGAGCUAUCAGCCAGCCCAAGAAUACUGUUAGCACCAUUUGGAAGAUCUGAACAGCCAGAGUCCUCAAAGACAUCUACGCAAGCGAGACGCGUCCUCACUGCGAGUUUGGGAGCUAAGUAAGCUGACGGUGACAUAUAGCUUAUGAUCACAUCGUAGUUGAGUGGAUAACUGAUGUUGCUGGUGAAGGCUAAGUCUGAAUCGACUUUAGAGAUACAUGUGUCAUUUCUGCAGGUAGGCCAAAGGGAGCGCUAGAACAAGUGGUGCAUCGAUCUUUAGUUUGUGCGCAGCCAGGGGACCUACAUAGGAUAGGGGUAUAGGUGGUUGAGUUAUAGCCGAUCCUGUCGCAUUGGAAAACUAAGGCUGAGCCACCAAGUUCUACGACUAGUUUAACGACAAGUGGUGGCUGGCCGACAGUCAUGUUGGUUUUGUUGUCUUUGAAGAUCUGAAUUACAAAAGUACGAGGUUUUGACUUUGGGUUAUGUUCAGUCAGAGACGUGGUGUUUGCCACUAAAACAAACAAAGGGGGUGAUUGGUUAGGCAGCAACUAUAUAAAAUUUACUUAAGAAUUUUAGAAUUUUAGAAUUUUUUGAUUUAACUUUAAGAAAUACUAGAUCUUGACCCGCGCCCCCGCGCGGGUGUUGGAUUUAACUUGCGUUCAACGUAAAUUUAUAAACCAUUUUUUAUAAAAUGUCCAUUUAUAUUUUUGUGUUUUGUAAAAUAUAUUUAGAGUAGAAUAUAUUAUAUUAUAAUAUAGAUGUUUGAUAAUAAUUUUUUAUCUGUACGUAAUAUUAUAUUUAUAAUUUUAUAACUUGAUGCAAUUUGAUGUAAUUGUAAUAUUCAUAUAUUAACCUAUUGAUUUUUUGUUUAUUUAUUUAAAAAUGAUUUAAUUUUUUACAGUAAGUUUUUAUUUUAAAAUUUCCUACCGUUAGAAAAAAUGAAGCAUUUUUGUUUUUGUUUUUUUGCUGUAGCUUUAUUUGUUUGGUUGUAGCUUUAAAAAAACAUUAUUAGCAGUUUUUAAAGUUGUAGAUGAAAAUUAAAGUUAAAGUCACCUUUUAGUCUUUUACAAUCCAAUCAAUCACUCCUAAGAUGUUUAGAAAAAUGAAACGACAUUUUUAUUAUUAAGGUGUGAGUUAUGUAUCUUUGAUACUGAUUAGGCAUUUAUGUAGAGAUACAAAGUUGAAUCAGGUGUAUUAUUUAUUUGAUUAAGAGGUGAUUAUAAAAACCUGGCAGAAAGUAGAUAAAAUAUGCAAGCAUGUGACUUUGUGAGGAAGACUGAAGUGAAGAUUCGUUGGUUUGCUUUGGAUCCUUAUGCACCCUAGUACAUAAUUAUUAGAGCAUCUUUAUCCAAGGACACUAGAGGGGUUCUUAGCGUGUGGGUCCCGCGUAGGACCCAUUUUUUUUAAGAAACCAGUUACCAAAACUACCAAAUAGUAGUCGGUCUUUAAGGGGUUUUUACAGUGUUCGCGGGUCCCAUUGACAUGUGGCGGCUCACGAUUAGUUCGUUUUUAUUUUUUUUUUCUUUUAAAUUCGAAAAAGUAAAAAAAAAAUUAAAAAAAAAUUAAGAAAUAAUGAUGCUCUUAAAAUAGCAAUUUUACCAAAAUUUUUUUAUUAAAAUAGCAUGUGCAUAUAACUAAUGAGUAACGUCACUUUAUAUAAAAACUACGGACUUUCCGAGGAUGCCUCUCGAAAAUGAAGUGUAGAUCACUAGCGAGUAACGGUUGUACCGUGAUGAGUAAACUUAAUAAGAUUUGAAAAAAUAGAACAUUAUGUAUUGAACCAGAACUAAAUAGAGAUCUUUAUCAUAUGAUAAUUUGGUAUAUCUGAAGAUUUAGAAUAAUAAAUUCUUUAGGAGGAUUGACGUGGAUCCUUUGGAAUUAGUCCGAUGUGCAGAAAAUGGAAGGCGAACCUGGUUUAGUACAAAUGAGAUGGCCAUUCCUGAUCUACAAAUACUUAAUAGUGAGGACGUCCAGAUCAUAAGCCUAGAUAACAUCUGCAUGGUGGAUGGUUCAUGGAUUGCCACAACACUGUUGGGUCUGAAAGGACAGUUUUGAAAAAUUCAGCUCAUGGGAACGCGAAACUUACGGAGGCGAGAGAUUGCUUUACAUUCUGAAGUAGAAGCAAUGUGAUGGGCAAUGGAUAAUAGGCUACAACAUUCACCAUGUCAGCACUUUGGGACAUACUGCAAAGAUCUGAUCGCGAUGAUAAAGGAACCUCAAGCUUAGUCAAGCUUUGCAACAGAAUUGGAGGCUAUUAAGACACUGCAAAUAUGUUUUCCAGACUUCACAAUAUCUCAUAUCCUAAAGGUGAAUUUCAGAUUCUUUAGCAAAGUCUGUGAGAUCUUUUCAUAAGGAGUUUUAUUACAUUAGUUGUUCUAUUCCAGUUUAGUUACACAUAUCACUUCAAUUUUGAGUAAUAGAAUGACCUUUUGUUGUCAAAGAAAAAUGAUUGCCAAAAUCUUUCCUUUUCUCUUUUUGAUUUUUAAUAUAGAAGCAAGUACAAGAAGCAAAUCAACAACGAAGCCACACACCACUCCUAUUAUAUGUUAUGGGGGGAAAAGAUAGAAGAAGACUCCAUGAACUGGUUCAGGCCAUGGAAGCAUCACAAACGUGGAUUCUUGAUAGCCUGGCAAAAUUGUUGCAUGGGUGUUCGAAGAAGCCGUUGUCGAGUACAGAUUGCAGCAAAGUAGGGAAUUUUUUUUUUGUAACACAAGGAGAAUCUGCUUUAAGGUUCCAUGUCGAAAUGUAAAGUUCAGUUUCCCCCACGGCUUUCACACACAAAGAGCAGCAUGAGUACACAUGUCGUCCCUGCCCUUUUAGCGGUUGCAAUUUCACUGGAUCUUAGCAUGAACUAUAUGCCAACGCCAAUGCUGUCCAGUUUGAGGGCUAGCAUAUGAUUGAAUGUUGAACUAUAAGGUCUAUAUGCUUUACUAAUCAUCAUUUCACUACAAGAAAACAGCGAUAUUCUGACGGACAUUCCGACGGAAAAUGAAAUCCUCGGAAUAUACCGAGGAAUUUCCGAAGAAAUUCCGAGGAAACACAAAAUUGGGUUUCCUCGGAAUUUCCUCGGAAUAUACCGACGGAAUUCCGAGGAAACUACAGUCCGUCGGAAUAUUCCGAGGAAAUUCCGAGGAAAACUCUGUUCCUCGGAAAAAACCGAUGAAUUCCGAGGAAAUAUUAUAGCCGUUGGAGAGCCGUUGGGGGAUUUUACAAAAUUCCGAGGAAAUUCCGACGAACUAGUUUUGUCCGUCGGAAUUCCGUCGGAAUUUCCUCGGUAUGUCGGCAGGAUUUAAACUAUAAAUACAAGCACUCCUCUUCCUCUUCAUUCACUUCAUAUCUUCAUCCUCCCUCUUACUCUAUUUACACACGAAUUUGAUUCAUAAAAAAUAUGUCUUCUUCAAAUUAUUUUCGUUCUUGGAUCGAUCGACCUCAUUUGGAUCCGAACACGAGAUUGCUUACGGAAGAAUACCAACGAGGUAUAACUGAAUUCAUGGGGUUAGUUCACCGACAACCGGAAGCAAAAACAGGUAUGUUAAGAUGUCCUUGCUCUAAUUGUAAAAAUAGAAAGGUUAUUAAAGAGUGGGAUGUUUGGACUCAUCUAUAUUUGAGUGGGUUUACACGAAGUUACAAAAUUUGGUAUCAUCAUGGGGAAACUGAUUAUGAACAUGGUAGUACUAGCGAACCUCAGCCAGCGGUUAGAUUAGAAGAACCAAUUAGAACGGAUGUAGAUUAUGGUGUAGGUACUGAGCAGAUGGUAAAUGAUCAUUUUAGAGGGGAAGAUUUACCCAAUGCAACUAGGCGAAUCCAGAUAAAAUAAUAUUAUCAAAGCCCAAUUCGGUAAGGAGCAAUCCUUAGACAAGGAGUUUAAGGAUCAAGUCCUUAGUGACGUGGUCGCGUCUCAUUGGAUGGAGGAAAAUAUGUAUAUAUGGAGGUAAUGGAGAUGAUGACAAUUUCCCCAGAUGAUCGAAUCUGAUUAUACUGAGCGAAUAGAACUUCCUCCCAUCAGAGGACAGUCAAGCCAAUUAGUCUGAUCCUUCUCCCUUUUUAUUUGAUUUUAAUUACAUUAACUAUGUUGGUGCAUUAUAAUAAAGUUUUUUAAACAUUUAACUUAAGGAGAAUUGGAGGUGAUGACAAUUUCCCCAGAUGAUCGAAUUUGAUUAUACUGAGCGAUUUUAUAUUUCCUCUCAUCAGAGGAAAUCAAGCCUAUUUUCUGAUCCUUUCUCUUUUUUUUUUUUUUCACUCUGAUCCUUUCUCCUUAAGUUUAGUUUUUGCUUUCUAAAGCUUUGAUAAUUGGUCUGUUAUGUUUUGUAAUGGUGGCAAUGGAGUUAUGGAGGUGAUGACAAUUUCCCCAAAUGAUCGGAUCUGAUUAUACUGAGCGAUUUUAUGUUUUCUCAUCAGAAAACCAAGCCAAUAUUCUGAUCCUUUCUCCCGCAUUUUUUUUUAUAUUAAGACAUCUCCAACUCUACUCCAUUUUCAACUCCAAACAUCAUUAUGGAGUAAAAUUUUCUCCAACCCCACUCCAUUUUUAACUCCAAAAUGGAGUAAUGGCUAGGGUUACUCCAUUUAUGGAGUAAUCUUACUCAUUACUCCAUUUUGGAGUUGAACUUUUUUUAUUUAUAAAAUGGUCAUUUGAAUCUUUAAUGUUUUUAUUUCUUACUUAAAUAAUAUUUAAAAUGAUACAAUAACAUGAAAAUAGUAUAUUCCACAAAGAAUUAUUUAAUAAUUUUAAAUAAAUGCAUAAAAUAACAGAAAACAUAAAUAAUUAAAGAUAAAGCUCCACCUCCGGAUAUCAAAAUUGCAGAAGAUGAAAAGUCCGAUUUCAAAAUUUUCUUGCUCGAUUUAGGAAUAUCAAAGAUAAAGAAGCUCAUUUUUCAUUACGAAAUGCAUUAGUUGAUCAUUUGUGGAAACAAUAUUGUAAUGCUCAUUGUUGAACCCACAUAUAUUAUGUUUUUUUAAUGAUUUCUUGUACUUUUUAAUAAUAAAUUUAAUUCAAAUCAUUUAUAUUUUAAUUAUUUAUCGUAAACAUAAAAUAAUUGGGGUUAAUUGGUAAAUUUUUAUAAGUAUAAGAUUUUAUUUGUAAUUAUUAAUAAAAUAAAAAUGAAAUCAUUUAAAAAAUAUUAUUUUUAGAGUAGAAAAUGGAGUAAUACAUUGGAGUAAAACCUUACUUUAUUUUGGUGUUGCACUAUUUUGGAAUAAAAAAUGGGGUAAUACAUUGGAGAUGCUCUUAGGAGUUCACUGCACUGAACCCGGAUUUAUCACUAUAACGCGGAUCCCACGGCACAUGACGGCCCGCGAUUAGUCCGAUUAAUUAAUUUUUUUUUUAAAACAAAAAUCAAACUAGAAAAAAAAUAAUAAAAAAAUACUUUGUGAACUGAUGCAGAUGCUCUAAAGUAGUACAAAGUGACUGAUAACAGAACAAGUGGUUCAACGUUAUUGAGUCCAUAAAGUCGACCCAAUAACAUAAGGUAUCACUACCUAAGAGCAUCUGCAUCAGUGAAUUCCAUGGAAAGUUUAUACAAUUUUUGAAAAAAAUAAUAUUAAAAUAAGUAAAAGAAAUGAACCUGUCUCUUAGGGCAUCUCCAAUCCUACUCCAUUUUCAACUCCACACAUCAUUAUGGAGUAAAAUCUUCUCUAACCCCACUUCAUUUUCAAUUCCAAAAUGGAGUAAUGGUUAGGGUUAUUCCAUUUAUGGAAUAAUCUUACUCAUUACUCCAUUUUGGAGUUGAACUUUUUUUAUUUAUAAAAUGGUCAUUUGAAUCUUUAAUGUUUUUAUUUCUUACUUAAAUAAUAUUUAAAAUGAUACAAUAACAUGAAAAUAGUAUAUUCCACAAAGAAUUAUUUAAUAAUUUUAAAUAAAUGCAUAAAAUAACAGAAAACAUAAAUAAUUAAAGAUAAAGCUCCACCUCCGGAUAUCAAAAUUGCAGAAGAUGAAAAGUCCGAUUUCAAAAUUUUCUUGCUCGAUUUAGGAAUAUCAAAGAUAAAGAAGCUCAUUUUUCAUUACGAAAUGCAUUAGUUGAUCAUUUGUGGAAACAAUAUUGUAAUGCUCAUUGUUGAACCCACAUAUAUUAUGUUUUUUUAAUGAUUUCUUGUACUUUUUAAUAAUAAAUUUAAUUCAAAUCAUUUAUAUUUUAAUUAUUUAUCGUAAACAUAAAAUAAUUGGGGUUAAUUGGUAAAUUUUUAUAAGUAUAAGAUUUUAUUUGUAAUUAUUAAUAAAAUAAAAAUGAAAUCAUUUAAAAAAUAUUAUUUUUAGAGUAGAAAAUGGAGUAAUACAUUGGAGUAAAACCUUACUUUAUUUUGGUGUUGCACUAUUUUGGAAUAAAAAAUGGGGUAAUACAUUGGAGAUGCUCUUAGGAGUUCACUGCACUGAACCCGGAUUUAUCACUAUAACGCGGAUCCCACGGCACAUGACGGCCCGCGAUUAGUCCGAUUAAUUAAUUUUUUUUUUAAAACAAAAAUCAAACUAGAAAAAAAAUAAUAAAAAAAUACUUUGUGAACUGAUGCAGAUGCUCUAAAGUAGUACAAAGUGACUGAUAACAGAACAAGUGGUUCAACGUUAUUGAGUCCAUAAAGUCGACCCAAUAAGACAAGUCCAAUAUAUCAGAUUCAUUAUCAGUUACAUCAACAUAAUACAACAAACAAGAUUUUAUUCAGAACCAGUGUGGCUUCUCUAACUAAAUGAUCUGUAUACAAUAAGCUCUGAUUAUAAUUUCAAUCAUACCUUACAAAUUUCGAAGCUCGUUACAAUGGCGUCUUUUAAGCAGCCCAAGGAAUGAACCCCAUGGCAGAGCUAAGUCUGAAAGUGACGAAUAUCAGAUACAGUGCGAUCAGACCAAUCCCCAUCACCUUGUUCGGUCGCAUCUCAUUCCGUGGGAGCAUUACAAGAGCCCAAAGCAACCCUAAUAUCAGAAACCCUAGCGUGUAGAACAAGCUAUUAUCCUCAGGGAUAAUGUAACUCUCUGGACGCUUGGACCAAGCACCAAGAAGCAUCGACACACCUAACCCAACAAGUGUGUUGAACAUAGGACCUGCGUAGCAACCAGACAACGCGAUCUGCACCCCAUCUCCACCGUUCAUCGACAAGGCUAUGUUAGAGACCAAGUCACCCAUUGAGUUCCCCCAAGCGAGUACGGUUAGACCAAGUAUCGACGGGUUGAUUCCGUAGAUCCCACCGAAUGUCACAAGAAGAGCAACGAGCUCGUUUGCUAUCAUGUAGAACCAUACAAUGCUCAUGAUGAAUCCACCGAGCACCCAAGGGAUUAAGUAUCUCUGUGGUGGACGGUCGUGUUCUGUGUUUCUAUACGCAAGAAAGCCGAGGAUGGAUCCUACUGCAAUACCGAUAAAGUAGGCUUGAAGACUGCUCCAGAGGAAAGCAAGAAGGAGAGGAGCUAGCGAGACGCUAGCUACAGCGUAUGUCUUUGACCAGCUAUCUUCCUCGAUCAACGGGAUUGUUAACCGUCUAGGAACUGUAAGCGGAGUCUCCAAGAAGUAUGUAAUCUUAGAACACAAGGAGAUAUCACCUUCUCCACCGUCUUCACUCCAUCCCCAUGGAGGUCUUUCUUCAUCAUGCACAUUAGCUUUCGCGGAGUAGAUGGCUACAUUAGUAGCCCACAUCCACUGCGGUAGAGAGUCGUGCAGCUUAGGUGGACCUUCCUCAGUGUCAAGCUCUAGCAAAGGGCUGUACACAUCCUCUUCACCACCACUCGGUGGUGAGAACACGCUUCCUUGAAUGGGAAGCAAAGGUGUAAAGGAGUCCAGCUUCAACCUCUUCGAAUGCUUCCUGAUAAUCUCAUUCGCCGCCACAAGAGAAGCAUACAGAACAUAGAUGGAAACAAACGCUGCGGCGAUACCUACACUCACUCUCCCCACAGUCAAAAUCACCAACAAAG